GUAACCUCAAGCUUUGCUUGGUGUUGGGGCACUGCUCUCGCCCGAGAGCAGGCCCUGAAAUCUAGUGGCGAGCUCGCCAGGACCCCGAGCGCAGUAGUUAAACCCUCGCUCUGGAAGGCCCUGGCGGUGCCCUGCCGUUAAACCCCCAACUCUUGAAA
rnacentral:misc_RNA from 1 species